AGAGUUUGAUCCUGGCUCAGAUUGAACGCUGGCGGAAUGCUUUACACAUGCAAGUCGAACGGCAGCACGGGAGCUUGCUCCUGGUGGCGAGUGGCGAACGGGUGAGUAAUGCGUCGGAACGUACCGAGUAAUGGGGGAUAACGCAGCGAAAGCUGUGCUAAUACCGCAUACGCCCUGAGGGGGAAAGUGGGGGAUCGCAAGACCUCACGUUAUUCGAGCGGCCGACGUCUGAUUAGCUAGUUGGUGGGGUAAUGGCCUACCAAGGCGACGAUCAGUAGCGGGUCUGAGAGGAUGAUCCGCCACACUGGAACUGAGACACGGUCCAGACUCCUACGGGAGGCAGCAGUGGGGAAUUUUGGACAAUGGGGGCAACCCUGAUCCAGCCAUUCCGCGUGAGUGAAGAAGGCCUUCGGG
rnacentral:rRNA from 1 species